rnacentral:rRNA from 1 species
GAUGAACGCUAGCUACAGGCUUAACACAUGCAAGUCGAGGGGAAACGAUAGAGAAAGCUUGCUUUUUCUAGGCGUCGACCGGCGCACGGGUGAGUAACGCGUAUCCAACCUGCCCAUCACUUGGGGAUAACCUUGCGAAAGUAAGACUAAUACCCAAUGAUAUCUCUAGAAGACAUCUGAAGGAGAUUAAAGAUUUAUCGGUGAUGGAUGGGGAUGCGUCUGAUUAGCUUGUUGGCGGGGUAACGGCCCACCAAGGCGACGAUCAGUAGGGGUUCUGAGAGGAAUGUCACCCACAUUGGAACUGAGACACGGUCCAAACUCCUACGGGAGGCAGCAGUGAGGAAUAUUGGUCAAUGGGCGAGAGCCUGAACCAGCCAAGUAGCGUGCAGGAUGACGGCCCUAUGGGUUGUAAACUGCUUUUAUAAAGGAAUAAAGUGAGCCUCGUGAGGCUUUUUGCAUGUACCUUAUGAAUAAGGACCGGCUAAUUCCGUGCCAGCCGCCGCGGUAA